rnacentral:rRNA from 1 species
ACUCCUACGGUAGGCAGCAGUGGGGAAUAUUGCACAAUGGGCGCAAGCCUGAUGCAGCCAUGCCGCGUGUAUGAAGAAGGCCUUCGGGUUGUAAAGCACUUUCAGUGGGGAGGAAAGGUUGAUGGUUAAUACCUAUCAGCUGUGACGUUACCCACAGAAGAAGCACCGGCUAACUCCGUGCCAGCAGCCGCGGUAAUACGGAGGGUGCAAGCGUUAAUCGGAAUUACUGGGCGUAAAGCGUGCGCAGGCGGUCUGUUAAGCGAGAUGUGAAAGCCCCGGGCUGCAACC